rnacentral:lncRNA from 1 species
CUGAGCAAAGGCGCGGAGAGGGGCGCGGCGCUCGGGCGUGUUCGCUUGUGACCUCGGCGGUUCAAAAGGGGCAGAGGCUUCUUAAAGGCUGAAAAUGGAAGAGGAGCGGAGGCGUGGGAGUUCCUGGAGGAGGGAAGAGUGCAAUGAGAGGAAGAAGGCAGAGCGCAGGGAGAAGGUGAUAGUAUUAGAAGAUGGAGUGCUUGGGAGGUGCUUGAGCCCCAAGAGUGGAGCCCUCACUAAUGGGAUCAGUGCUUUUUAUAAAAGAGGCUUCAGUGAGUUCCCUCCCCCUUCCACCAUGGGAGGAUCCAAUGAGAAGUCUGCAGCCUGAAAGAGGACCUUCACCUACCUGUGCUGGCACCUCCGUCUCAGACUUGCAGCCUCCAGAACGCUCCCUUGCACCUGUGGCCUGGACAUGUGACCUGGGCCUGGCCUUUCAGAAGUGCACACACCAGACUUCGAGUCAGUACCUAGAGAUGCAAAGAAGCUGAGAGCGAGGCACAUCUUUUUGGCAAUAACAGCCAAGGGAAUGAAGGAUUAUGAGUCUGUGGGCGAGAGUUCAAUGCUGACUGUGCAAACUAUGAGGUCUGGUAUGUAGCAUGACUGAAACAUUGUUCUCCUGAUACUAGUUUCAUAGUGUGAUACUGGCUGUGUUUUGAUCCAUGCGGCCCUUUCUCCUUGCCUCUUCUUAAACCUAUUUCUCAAAUCCCUCACUGAUUUUAUGACCUAUUCAAUGGUCUUUCAAUAAAUUCAUUCUUCUUAAAUCUGCCA